rnacentral:tRNA from 1 species
GGUGUCGCCAAGUGGUAAGGCAUCAGACUCUGACUCUGACAGUACGUGGGUUCGAAUCCUACCACC